rnacentral:rRNA from 1 species
GUGGGGAAUCUUGCGCAAUGGGCGAAAGCCUGACGCAGCCAUGCCGCGUGAAUGAUGAAGGUCUUAGGAUUGUAAAAUUCUUUCACCGGGGACGAUAAUGACGGUACCCGGAGAAGAAGCUCCGGCUAACUUCGUGCCAGCAGCCGCGGUAAUACGAAGGGGGCUAGCGUUGCUCGGAAUUACUGGGCGUAAAGGGCGCGUAGGCGGACAGCUUAGUCAGAGGUGAAAGCCCAGGGCUCAACCUUGGAAUUGCCUUUGAUACUGGCUGUCUUGAGUUUGGGAGAGGGGAGUGGAACUCCGAGUGUAGAGGUGAAAUUCGUAGAUAUUCGGAAGAACACCAGUGGCGAAGGCGACUCACUGGCCCAAUACUGACGCUGAGGCGCGAAAGCGUGGGGAGCAAACAGGAUUAGAAACCCGGGUAGUCC